UAAGUGUUCCCUUUAUUUUUUUGAGCAGUGUAUUUGUCUUGGUAAAAUGUAUUUGAUAAAAUAAGGAAGUGAAAGUUCAUCACUAAACCGUGUUUUCACCCACUCAGAAUGGGUUGACACCCUAGAGGAAGCCAAAUGAGGUGUGGCAAGAGAGACAGCGGAAACCAAAAAGGAUCGAGGAAGUAGAGGGGGGCUGGUGGUAGAGGGACUAUGGAAGGUAUGCUCACCACUCUCUUCUAUAGUUCUAGCUAGUCUCUAGUCUCCGUAUUAAACAGGAUGAGCUACAUGUCGAUGUUUGGUUCCAACGGGCAUUCCUUUGACGCCAGCCUGAUUUGGUUAAAUGAACAUGGUUUGAUUUGAUCUACUUGGAACUGAGUUUGGAUGGGUUUGGGAACAAUGCCUACCUUGUGUAAACGGAACCUGCACCAAGUGUCCAUGCUCCAGUAGGACAGGGCAUUAGACCCUUGAAACAAUGGCCUCUGGGGGUACCGCAGGAAGUCCGCCCGCUCCUAGUAGCCAAGCCUUCCUCACUACCUCAUUUGUCUGGAAGGGACCCCUUUGCCUCCUUCACCGUCAGGUCUGUGAGCCAUGUCUCACACACCCCCAUCUCAAGUCCUGAAGGAACAACUGGAAUCCCUAUCAUCUCUUUCUGCCAAGUUUGACACGCUGUCCAAUCGCUUUACUCUGGUAUACAGUCUUUGCACAACAGUUGUUCUCAAAUAGAGUUCUGUUUUUCUCACAGUGGUUUGUUGUGGUGGCACCCGGAAAUGGGAACUUUAAGGUGAAUUUAAUUGUGUUGUGGUGUCACGUCUUUUCCUCACACAUGGUGUAAUUGUAAACAAAUGGGUGACAAUUAUGAAUGGGGCUACUGUAGUGUGUGUGUGGCGCACAGCUGUCUGUCUGUACCAGUACAGCUGCUUAAGUGCCAGCUGAAGUGAGGGGAGUGAAAGAAGACUCUAAAGUCUUGUGUGUUCACAUGGGAAGAGGACUGCAACAGGUCCACCUAGUGGUUCUUAGGUGUACACACACCCUCUCUAGCCUUUUCCAAAAAUAAUACCAUAUGUGAAUGUGGCAGUGACUUUGUAACAAGUAAAAUGGAACAAUGUCUCAUCCUCACCUUCAUCGCUCCAUGUCAGCUUCAACGUCUAAAGAAAGUGUACUAAAAUGUGUG